CAAAGUUUCAGUGCAUUCUGUUGAUGUAGACGGCGUGAAAACGGAAACAACAAGUAUGCCGGCUCACUGUGCUGCAUACAGUUACACACUACGUCGUACGAUUGAGACAAGGAAACUUGGAAUGACUUUUCAUAGGUUUCCCAGAGACUGUGGGUUGAGGAGGAAUUGGAAGUUUGUCGGCUUAGACCUGGUGUCAUUCCAUCAGUGUUAAACUUCCCGGCUCAUCUUGGAAGAGUACGUGCCAGAAAGACCACGACCAAGCAGCCUUGAGAUCUUAGGCAGCGUCUCCCUCAGACCAAAGAACUACAGACUCUUCACAACCUGCUCAAACUCUUGGUACAGGACCUCACCACACGGGUCAAGAAGGUUUCCUUCUCAUUUCUACUCUGAAGCUCACCUUCUCCUGCUCAAACUGCUGACAAAUGUUUCUGCUGCUCUAAAGUCUGCUCUCCAGAACUUCCUAGAAACUCUCAAAGUCACUUCUGCUGCAGGUUGCUUUGUAGAACUGUUCCAGAAAACCUCACUAAACCACAUGGAGGGGCCUCAAGAUAGUCGUCCAAAUGAAACCGUACAAAAACCAAAGUAGCACAACCCAAACGCUAAAGUCUCCUGCAGCCUACCAGAGAACCUCUGAGAACAGAGAAUCAGGACAGGAACUCUUACCUUCUGGACAAUCAACAUCGGUUCUCAAACAAGAACACAGAAUGUGUCUGACCAAAAACCUCUAAAGACUCACUACAGCCAAGAUACAGACACAACUCAACUGUACCAAAUCCACUAAUCACUGCACACAUUAGUACCAUGUGCUAACUGUGGCUAAAGAACCACAUUUACCAAGACAGCUAUCCAGUACAAAGCCCUAAAACACACCAAGAAACACAUUAAAGAUGAUUUUACUGCUGGAAGCUGCAAGCCAACGCCUAAAGAACAAACUAAAGCUUCUUCUGUGGUGAAGAGAAGCAGAGGAAAUGUUUGUCUGCAGCUAAAUGAAGCAGGAAGACACUGAGCUGCUCAGGUGUUCCUGAUAACACUGAGCUGCUCAGGUGUUCCUGAUAACACCAAGCAGCCACCUGGACAGCCAACAGGAACACAGCUUACUGGGAGUCCAGAGGGCUGGCUUAGUGAAGUAAGUUUAGUUUAAAGUUGAAGCAGAAAGUUAACAAAGAAAGUUGAAAACCACCUUCUGAUACCUGAAAUCUAAUAUCUAAUCUAAUUUAUAAUACUAAAUUAGGAAGCCAAACUUCCUAUUACUAGUUUGAACUGCUUUUCACUUUCAUAGGUUCUUGUUAAUGCGUAUGCAUGUUACUGUGGUUCCAGAGAAUACCAGGUGGACGGAUAAUAAUCGGAUAGCUGAUGUUCAGAGGUGGGUUUGGAUUCCUCACAUUUUAACCUAACCUGGUAAAUAGAAAUGAUGUGUUUUGAUAAACCAUUUUACAUUCAGUAUGUUUAUG